UGAGCAACCUGCCCUUGACCCUGGAAUAACAGCUGGAAACAGCUGCUAAUACCGGAUAUGACCUCCGAUGGCAUCAUCUGGAGGUGGAAAGCUCCGACGGUCAAGGAUGGGCUCGCGGCCUAUCAGCUUGUUGGUGAGGUAACGGCUCACCAAGGCUUCGACGGGUAGCCGGCCUGAGAGGGCGACCGGCCACACUGGGACUGAGAUACCGGCCCAGACCUCGUACGGGGAGG
rnacentral:rRNA from 1 species